UGCAACUCGCCUGCAUGAAGUUGGAAUUGCUAGUAAUCGCGAAUCAGAAUGUCGCGGUGAAUACGUUCCCGGGCCUUGUACACACCGCCCGUCACACCAUGAGAGUCGAUAACACCCGAAGCCUGUGAGCUAACCUUUUAGGAGGCAGCAGUCGAAGGUGGGGUUGAUGAUUGGGGUGAAGUCGUAACAAGGUAUC
rnacentral:rRNA from 1 species